GAUGAACGCUGGCGGCGUGCCUAAUACAUGCAAGUCGAGCGAACAGACGAGGAGCUUGCUCCUCUGACGUUAGCGGCGGACGGGUGAGUAACACGUGGAUAACCUACCUAUAAGACUGGGAUAACUUCGGGAAACCGGAGCUAAUACCGGAUAAUAUAUUGAACCGCAUGGUUCAAUAGUGAAAGACGGUUUUGCUGUCACUUAUAGAUGGAUCCGCGCCGCAUUAGCUAGUUGGUAAGGUAACGGCUUACCAAGGCAACGAUUCGUACCCGACCUGAGAGGGUGAACGGCCACACUGGAACUGAGACACGGUCCAGACGCCUUCGGGAGGCAGCAGUAGGGAAUCUACCGAAAUGGGCGCAAGCCUGACGGAGCAAUGCCGCGUGAGUGAUGAAGGUCUUCGGAGAGUAAAACUCUGUUAUGAGGGAAGAACGAAGGUGUAAGUAACUAUGCACGUCUUGACGGUAGCCAGAAAAAAAGCAGCGGCUAACUACGAG
rnacentral:rRNA from 1 species